rnacentral:lncRNA from 1 species
AACCUGAGCCAUGUGCAUGGAUGGCUCUUGUGCACUCAUAUUCCUUCUGUCAGCUGCUUAUAGGGGUUGAAAACCUUCAGAAGGCAGAUACAAGUGAUAUGAAAUAGCCUGAGUUAAAAACUCGACUCUGAGUCAAAAACUCAGCAUCAAAAAUUGUGAGAUACCCCAUGAUACUGCAUGCCACACGUAGAGUAAUGGGAAAGCUUAAACGGCUUCUGCCUCAGGCAGAAUGCAACAGAAAACCUGACAGGGAAAGGUAAGAUGGUAGCGGUGAAAGCAGCCAGGAUUGCGUGGUGAUUGCUGCAUGGGAGGUUGCAGCCAAGACUCUAAAAUGACUUAAACCACUGCUGUAUACUUUUGGAUUUGUUUCUUCUUUUCUUAUGUUUUGGAGGAGAAGAGGGUGUGUCUGGAAGUUCAGAUGCUAGCUUGGGACUUAGGCCAUAUUUAUCCAGGUUUCUGCCUUGCCAGUUACUCCCUUCGCAGUUCCUGAGGGAGAACAGACUGCAUUGUUUGUGAGCUUCAAUCCAGGUCAAGUAGGCCGGAUCUUCCACAGAGAAGUUGCUGACUUUGGCCCCAAAAAAUCAUUGUUAAGGAGCCAGCAGAGGCAACCCAGCUCCCAGGUCCCCCAGGAACCUCAUGGGACUGGCAAGAAAAGAAAAAAACACCUCAGGUGUGUUGGCCCCAGAAGAGGAGUUUUCAGCACGUAAUAUGUGGCCACACUGCCUGGCCUGUUUCCCAGCACUUAGUGAAAGGAAAGAGAUACAUCUUAUACAGUUGUUUCUCAUCUAA